GUGGCUGGACGAUCAGUCGGGAAACCAUCUAGGAAUCUUUGUCAUCCACAUGGCAAUUUCCUCGGGAGUUUAAGCCA
rfam:Legionella tucsonensis strain ATCC 49180 Ltuc_ctg001, whole genome shotgun sequence.